UUUAGAGAUCGUUUGUGGCACAUGGUAUCUUUGUUUGUCAGCUGACACCCCCCUUUCAGGAUGACAAACUUUAUGUCUUCUGUUCCUGACGAGAUGUUCUCCUUUGGGUUACCUGGAUGAACCCUCCAUCAAUCAUGUCCUGAGUCACUCAUCGGCUCACUCUUUAUUGACACUGUCACAUCUUCACCAUCACACAGACUCAGGGUUCCUGUGUGCCUGUAUGUAACAUCAGUAAAGCUGUCAAGCAACCAGGCCAAGGUAAACAGCCCAGCACCGGGUUCAGGGGUGACGGGGGCCGAGAUGUUUUUCCUCAGGAACCCAGGGACCCCCGGAGGCUUCUGGCUGGGGCCAGGGAGGGGCCGAGGGGGGGAAGAUGAUCCCCUCAGUUGCCCCCCACAUGAACACACAACAACGGGUCUCUCUCAUUUCUCUCUUUUACAGAAUCUCAUUGACAAAUGUACGAUAAAUCAUCAGCACUCACAUACUCCCCUUACUCACAUUUUGCUGCUUAUAUCAUCCGAGUGUUGACAUAGAAAUAUACACAUGUAUGCCUUAAAAUAUGUCCAAAAGAUACAGUAUGCAGAAUGUCAGAGUUCCCAAAUCAAAAAUGUAAUUAGAUUUUGUUCCAACUCUCUGCUGCUCGUGGUUUUAUGAGAUACUUUAGGUGAACUUCUAAUAGGAUCUUGGCUUCUUGUUAUUCUUGGGGGAAUGUGGCAAUCAUUUAUUUCACUUGAAUAGGAAAAACUAGGAGGAACAAGAGGAGAAGGAGGAGUAGGGCUGUCCAAAAAGGAGAACAUGGAAGAGAAAGAAAUAUAGCAAAGGGAGAGGGAGUUAAACGGUGAAUAUGGAUGGAUUGAUAGAAGGAUAUUGGGGAGAAAUGAUAUCUUUAACCCAGGCGUGACCCCUCUCAGCCCUAGCAAGCUGCUCCCUAAGAGGGAGGCAGACAGCCCGGAGAGGGAGAGCAAAGAUAGGGUCCAUCCAGAGGUUGCAAAUCAGAGGCAGCACUAAAAACACAGCAAACUGGGAACAUGAGAGACAGAAAAAAAAGGCAGUGAGCACUGGGAGUUGAAGAAGAGACUAAAAAAGAAAAUAAAAAAAAAAGUGGAGAAGGAUUUAAUGGAGAAAGGAACAAGGUCAGGGGAGAAAAAGAAAGAAGGGAGGCAGAGGGCAAAAUUGUUGAAAGAAAACUUGAGCCAGUCAAGCCAAGAAAAGCAUGUAGAAUUGAAUUAGGGGAGGGGAGAGCCACUGAGCAAACCAACAGGAGAGGAAAGUAGGGGUGCAAGGAGGAAGAGGAGGACCAUUACCCUUUGUACAUCAGCCGUUACAUCCCCUGGCGGCUGCCGUUGAGUGUGUGUAUGUGUGUGUGUAAGGAGUGGGGGGAUUCGAGAUCAUUUGGGAGGGGUAAAACGAAGAACAGAUUAAGCAGGAAGAUAGGUUAAGACCAGACUUUAUUCCAGUCUACAGGCAUGCAUUUAUAAGAAUUUACUAUCCGUCAUGUCAUCAUUUACUUCCAAUGAACUGCAACGCUUCACAAAACCUUUAAUCUCCUCUUGCCCUUAAAAGCCUACCUGCGACUGGAGUCCUCUUCCUGUUCCUGUUUCCCAGCAGCCCUUAGUCAUCCUGUUGCUGCAGCCUGUACCUCAUCAAUUUAGCACUACCACAAUGGUCUGUGACAGGCCUGCCACACGGACAGCCUGUCCCUGCCAACCAGCCCACAAUACAUGAGAAGACAAACAGACACGAACAACUCACUUCCCUCCUCCCAAAACUGUGUUGGCGCCUGACUGUGUGGCCCUACCCUCUCUCGCUGAAAUCACUCUUCCUCUGUUAAAAAAAGAAAAACUACUCAGCUGCUAUUACUGUAAAAUGCUAGGGUAACACUUUGGACCUAAAUUCCAGCUCUAGAUAUUUGAGCAAGUUUUGUUUCACUUUCAUUUUCUCUUGAGGAGGAAACUUACUGACUUCAGAAACUCCCACACUUUUCCAAGCACCACAAUGAGGAUAACAUUCAUAUAACACAGGAAUAAAAAAAUAAAACAACUACAGUCUGAAUUUG